rnacentral:rRNA from 1 species
CCCUUAGAUGUUCUGGGCCGCACGCGCGCUACACUGAUGUGUCCAGUAAGCACCUAACCUAUUCCGAGAGGAGCGGGUAACCUUAGCAAAGCACAUCGUGAUGGGGAUAGAUUAUUGCAAUUAUUAGUCUUGAACGAGGAAUUCCUAGUAAGCACAAGUCAUCAGCUUGUGUUGAUUACGUCCCUGCCCUUUGUACACACCGCCCGUCGCUCCUACCGAUUGAAUGUUCCGGUGAGCUCUUCGGGCUGCGCGGUCUGCAGUUUCUGCGUUCCGUGCGGAAAGUUGUGCAAACCUUAACAUUUAGAGGAAGGAGAAGUCGUAACA